rnacentral:rRNA from 2 species
CAGAAUCCCGCCUAGACGUAACGAUACCAUAGCGCCGCGGAUCUUCGGUUGGCCCCGGAUAACCGGCUUCGGUCGGUGAGUAGAGCCGUUCGUGACAGGGCUGGGGUGCGGCCGGAUGAUGGUCGCCCCUCUCCUAUCUCGCACCGCAUGUUUGUGGAGAACCUGGUGCUAAAUCACUUGCAGACGACCUGAUUCUGGGUCAGGGUUUCGUACGUAGCAGAGCAGCUCCCUCGCUGCGAUCU